GUAAACAACGGGAUCGGUGAUCACCUCAUCUAGACAGAAUCCCUAUCGGGAAAUCUUUGAUUACAGAAAGGGAGAAAGCUUUAUUUACAAUUUUCAUCAACAAGUUAGUCGAACUUGAUUCAUUUUAUAAAACAAAGUUGUAACAAUUCAAGUACAUUUGCGGUAGAGCUUUGGUCUCGUGAGUCUAAGGAUGUGAGUUCAAAUUCCCAAUUAAGUCAAUGUAGCUCAAGCUCCACCGUGCAAAGGGUAGCCCAGUGAGUGUACUUCAUGACUUGAAGUAAAGAAAAAUAUAUGUUGUUACUCGAAGUGCUAAAAAAAAAAUAGGGGGUCAUUUUGCGUUCCGUAGUACUGCAGUGUCGGAACAAACCGUUAUCCUAUUGGCUACAAGAGUUAUACUCGGAUAAGAGCGACAUGCGACACUGAACACGUGAACCAAAACAGCUUUCAUCACAUUUGUAAUUUAUAAGGAUUUACAAUUUGUUCUCCACAAUUUUGCAACUAAAGAGUCUCAGAAAGUUGGUUUUACAUACUCGUUCAAGCUCGAACUCUCAUCUUCCUGAAGCGCUAUCACAGCGAGUACGGAGCAAUGGGGUUAGUGUACAAGAAUAUAAACUUUGAGUUAUUGGAAUAUAAUUUGAAUUACAUCGGGGAGGCGUAUUCGCCCAUAGAAACGCAAUUCCCGUCAUCAGUCGGUUUCUCGCAAUCAUCGCAAAUACCGAAUUUGAAUUUAAAAUAACUUGAACAUCUGGACGAUAGGAACUUUCCGGGUCCAGCCAAGAUUGACUCGAUGAAAUAGUGCGUCGACCGUCCGUGACUGCAAUGAACUAAAGAAAAAAUUAGACAAACUGUCCAGGAAAUAACUAUAAAAACUUUUACUUAAUGAAUCGUAUUCAGUGUUCCAGAGACAGCCAUAUUGCCAUCUGCCACCAUUAGGAUAAAAAUCUGCGUGGCCGAUUGAGCUCGUAGUACCCAGACCGAGAAUUUUUGCAUUGAAGCUGGUUCAAGUCCAGUGAUUCGCGGAAGACGGCCCAGACGAAGAGCGUUUCCCGCACUGCCAGCAACAUGAGCUCCCAAACUGUAGCCGAUCACCUAAACAGAAUCUUACGUAAAUUGUAUCUUUCAAAUGGGAAACAUGUCUGAAAGUUUACAUGAAAUGCUGACGGCUGAGUGCCCUGGGAUAUCAGAAAGUCCAAGAAAUUAGCAACGUAGACGCCAACUGGUGUAGUGCUUACAGCGGCGCGGGCAUAGUUUGGAUAUUCGGCAAGAGAACUCCAAUCAACCGUGAUGACGUUAAAGUCAGCCAGUAGCAAGUAAGCUAAUGAUAAAAUCAAAUAGUUUAGAAGCCUUUUACUUAAUGUAUAUGGAAAACGUUAAAUGAUUACCGGCGCGGGCUUUCGAAACAAAGCGGUCGUCAGUUCCAUUUCCACCAAAUCCAUGGAUAAGUACUUUUACUGGUUUGAAACGGUUGAAAGUUGACCGAUUUAAUACAUCUGUUCGAUUAGUCAGAAGCUGUAUGCCAUAAAUGGGAUUUAGCCUGGAACAGAGAAAGUAAAAUCGGACAUCAUUUAACUGUAGCGUGACAUCCGAGGAAAAAAUUUGAUUAGCGAUAAAAGAGGCAAUUCGAUUCGAAAUGGUAUCCUUUUUUGGUACUAGUAUAUCUUCAAUGGAGGCACCGGCGAUGGCACCAAGAGUUUGGGAAUUAACCCGAUCUACAUUGAUAUUAUCAGUUAUCCUGAGUCUUUCCUUGUUGCUCGAUGCCGUGCUACUGCGUUGAUGCUGUGCCCCGUCGUUUAAAUAUUUGACUGUGACAAGGCCAUAACCUCGAAAAAUCCAGCCUUGAAGAAGGAUUACAACCUUUCAG
rnacentral:lncRNA from 1 species